CUCGUAGGUGGCCAACUAAGUCAGACGUGAAAUCCCCAGGCUCAACCUGGGAACUGCGUCUGAUACUGGAUGGCUUGAAUUCGGGAGAGGGAUGCAGAAUUCCAGGUGUAGCGGUGAAAUGCGUAGAUAUCUGGAGGAAUACCGGUGGCGAAGGCGGCAUCCUGGACCGAAAUUGACACUGAGGAGCGAAAGCCAGGGGAGCAAACG
rnacentral:rRNA from 1 species